rnacentral:rRNA from 1 species
GAUCUAUACAACUUUCAGCAACGGAUCUCUUGGCUCUCGCAUCGAUGAAGAACGCAGCGAAAUGCGAUAAGUAAUGUGAAUUGCAGAAUUCAGUGAAUCAUCGAAUCUUUGAACGCACCUUGCGCUCCUUGGUAUUCCGAGGAGCAUGCCUGUUUGA